GAUGAUAUGUAUGUUAUUGUAGAGAGUAUGUCAUUUAGUUUGGGUGUAGACCACGGGAAAGGGAAGUGUUGUCGAGACCCGUGUCUAUGGCCACUUUUCCCAUUUAACCCCAGUGCCAAAUUUAGAAAUGGUGAUGUUGGUGCACCAAACUUGUUGCUUGGUCUACAUGACAAGCAAAGUUUCACUCUUGAUGUAUCCUAUAACCAAAU
rnacentral:lncRNA from 1 species